GGGAAUACCAUGAGAUUGUAGAAACUUCCUGUGGCCUUGGAUCAACAUCAGCUUGUUGUUCUUGAGAACCCCUGAGAUAGUAAGCCACUUAGUUAUAUGUUUAUCUAAUGAAUAAAUUUAUUCAAUGUUAUACAAGGUAAAGGGACACUCAAUUAACCUUCAAAUGCUUAUUCCUCAUGUAAAACUAUGAUUCACAACAUCAAUAUUAGAUGAUAUAAUACUUGUAAUAUUUGGAUUUUUCAAGAUUUUGGUUUGGCUCCACUAUCCAAAUAUAUACACAAAUUGUCUUUCUAUUAUGUAAACAAGAACAUGAGUAUUAAUGUAUUUCCAAUUCCGACUAAGCUUUAAACUAGUCGUAAACAAGAACAAUAGGUUAUAAGAUUGUGAUGGGCAAAGGCACCUCUCGGAAUUGCAAUUAAAGAAAAUUUAACACUUCUAAGUUCCAACUAAUGAACUUCAAUUCAAAACCUUAUUACAAGGCACCGAUUGCGAUUAGUAGCCAGAUGAGAAAAUCCAUCUAAGAUUUCAACCCUAGAAUAUACAAGAAAUGAACUAUAUGGAAUGGAAGAAUUACCAAAACUUGAACAUAUCGUUGAUCUUUCGGUUGACUUUGAGACGUGAGAUUACCAAGACUGCAAAACCGAUAACAAGCCCUCAAUGUUAUUAAAAUCAUAUCUCACCGCUUACUUAAUAAAAUCAUUCUAUGACAAACAAAAAAAGGGGGGAAAUAUUGAUUGGGGAAAAGAGAAAACGGAGAUUACGUUGAAUAGAAGCAAGGACGAACGGAAAAUUUGUUGUUGAAGAUACAAUUUUGCGAUUACCUUUAACCACAAGAUUUCAAAUCCUCGGCGGGUUUGCGUUUCCCAGACGCGUGUGGGCCGAUGAUGUACUAAUUCAUACUACAACAAUGGCAUUAUUGUUUAGAGUAAAUUACACUAAUCGUCCUCGUGCAAGUGUUAAAAGACACGUUUGGUCCCUAUUUUCAAAAAAUAACUCGAACCAUCCCUUAUUAUUUUAAAAUUUGCACGCUUUGUCCCUUGUUAUUUUAAAUUUACACGUUGUAGCACGCUAGUUUCUUUUUCUCUUUUCCGUUUGAAUAGGAACCAAGUGCAGCUAUCAUCGUUGAUUUUGAUUUCUGAUUUUCUGAUGUGGAUCUCAGCAUCAAUUUUGAUAUGUGGUCUGAAUCUUGCUACAGAUUGUGACCUAGUGUUGAUGGGUAGUGUCAGAAUAGGUAUCGGUGGUAUUGUUGGAGAAAGAGGAAAAGUCGAUGGCGGCUAGGGUUUUGGGUGACUGUCGGAGUGCAGAUCUUCUCUGUAAGAUCAUUAUUUGUCUAUCUCUAUCUCUCUUCUAUUUUCAUCUCCUUGACGUCGGAAUCAAACCUUCACCUCAAUGUUCAAUUCAAGCUUCACUCACAGCCAAAUAUGGUGGUGAUUAACAAUGUAAACCCCCUCACAAAAUCCGAUUAUAUUUUUGUUACUUAAUCCCAAUUGAAAACUGAAAUGAGAUUGAAUUCGUUUUCACUGGGAAAUUUUGGUAGGGGAUUCGAUUUUAGUGAUUGAUUUUGGUGGGUGAUUCGAUUUCGUGAACUAAUGUGUGCGAUUGUGUAAAAAACAAACAACACUUGUGAUAUGUUUUUGAUUUUGUGGGAAGCAGAACAUCUGAUCUCUAUCACUUUGGGUUACUGGUGGUAGAUUAUGGUGCUAGACGGUGGUAAUGGUGGUGGCAGAUGGUGUUGGUGAUGCCAGAUUGAUACCCAAACAAACAACAAACCUAAAAGAAUGGGGAUGGGUGAAUGCAGGGUCACGAGAAAGUCCGCAUUUAUUUUUUUAUUAAAUGUAAUAAACAAAUUAAAAAGAAACUAAAAAAGAAAUGAGAAAGGGCAGUAUAGUCAUUUCAGGCCAACAUGGACAAAACUUGCAAGUUCAAAACAAAUGAGGGAUGGUCUAAGUUAAUUAUUAAAAAUAGGGACUGAACGUGCUUUUUGUCACCUACACGAGAGACAAUUCGUGUAAUUUACUCUGUUGUUUAUUAAGAAGAGCCAACAGUCCAACUCCAACACAAGCCUACUUUUCUUGUUAGUUAAGGGUUGAUCUUAUAUAUCUCAUAAACUUUAUAAUCCAACAACACGAUAUAAUAAUCUCUAGCAAAUUUAUAAACACUAUAGUUUUUAGGGUGUUUGUUUAAAAUAUUUGUGCCAAAAUAAUAUAUGCUAAGAAGAACAAAGACCCCAUGCACCUUAUGGAUCUUGAAGUAUUAUUUUUGUAUCUCCCUAACCAAAUCCCCUAAUCCGAAGUGAAUUCAAAUUAAUUUUGAUUUUCACAACAUAUAUUGAAUAGUUAAAACUAAAUUCAAAAUCCGGUCCAUUCCAACCAAAUUAUUAUUUGUUUAACUCAAUUUUUUCAAUUCGCUUUUCAAGAAUCAAAACAUUUUAAAAAAUAUAUAAUUUAAAUAUUAAUAAACUCUAUAAAAAAUAUUAAUAAACUCUAUAAAAAAACUAACAUAAACUAUUUAUUUGCAAAUUUAAUUUAAUAAAAAACUACUAAUAAAAAUACAUUAUAAAUUAAUAUUUCAUAGAUAAAAAUUAGAAGUACUUAAUAAUAUACUAUAUUGAAUGAAACUUUUUGACCUGAUUUUUCACAGAAAAAUAUCACCACCACCACCACCACUUGCCGACAACCACUAUUAUUUGUCUAACCAUCGCCAAUGUUGACGUAGAUCUGAACUUUCAGUGAUGGUUUCCUCUUCAGAUUUUUCAUAGAUCAUAAGCCACCACCGUUUUUUUGUCUUUGUUUUUCGAGAUCUAAGGUGGUUUACAUUUUGAAAACCCUAGCUCCCAAACAACUCUGUAGAUCUUCGUCUUCCUAUUCAUACUUCCUUCUUCAAAGCCGUCGAACGACCAUCGAAACAAAUUUGGAAAUAUCUGUUGUCCUUCAUCUCCAUUGGAGAAGAUGGAAAAGAACUCUUGCAUUCUAUGAUAUCGCUAGAGAAGGAAACUAGAGCAGAGAAGGGCGAUCUAGAGCCACAGUUCGUCGAAAACUCGAGCCACAAUUCAUUGGCGACGAUGCAAGGGAGCAUCCCGAUUUGUAAACGUGUGCAAACUGUUUGGAAACCACCAUGAAACCACCACCGUUGUCUGCUAGAAAUCGAGUCGGAGAAGGACGACCUGAGAAAGAGGGUGAUGACUCUAAUGAUGAACAUAUCUGAACAUAUUUGGAAAUAUCUGACAAGGGUUUUUGGAUCGAAGGCAUUCCGAAGAAGAGGUCAAUGUCGUCUUUCAAAUCUUCUAGUGACAGCAAUGGCGGUUUCUGGCGAAAAUGGUGGCGGUUUCCGGCGAUGAUGGUGGUUUCCGACAGUAGGGGUGGUUAGUACCAAAGCAUUGGAGAGAGAGAGAGAGAGAGAGAGAGAGAGAGAGAGAGAGAGAGAGAGAGUAUAAAGAAACGUGG
rnacentral:lncRNA from 1 species